ensembl:lncRNA
UCAUUCAUCCAUCAUACAUAUUUAAUGCAUUUUAUAUUAAAUUAAUAAAAGAAAGACACAUGAUGUGUUGCCAUCACAACCCCAUUCAUUAUUAAAGACUGUCUCAGCAUGUCAUCUUAAAUGAAUAUUAUAGUGAAAUAGUAUUUGUGUCAUUAUGAAUACAUUAUUAUAUACAUUUACAAGUUCAUUUCAUUUUACAGGUGUUGCUCUGGCAAACAAUAAACCAGGUGCAUAUAAAGACUAAAGGGUUAAACUGACCUUCAUCACUUUAAUCAUAUAAACAUCACAUACUUCACCAUUCAGGUGAUCUCUACAGCCACAAUGUUUACCUGUGACACCUCAAAACCAAACAUGCAUCUAUAUUUGAGCUUCUCAUCACUGUGCACAUGCUCCGAGUAGCACACCCGUACCAGCUUAAAAAGAAAAGCCCUCUAAAACGUCACCGCUCGCAGUAUGGAGACGUGAAAUAUGACGAGACAGAUAUUGCCUCGUGUAUUAAGGAGUCGGAAGGAAAGCGGGUUGUGGUCCACUUGAAUGGGAGUGAUCGACACUAUUUGGCUAUUGGCCAAAGCACUUCAGUGUGGGUUCACGCCGCUGAGUCAGGGAAACAGAGUGAGGCUGCUGACAAGGAAAGCAAGGCAGAACACCGUCAAUCAUCAGACAGGAGCAAAGUAGAAAAAGUUUAGGCUCUUUUUAAUUGCCAAGACUGUGAAAGCGUUCUGCCUCAUCACAACUCAACGUGACACAAACACACACGCAGGCAAAAUUAACCUACACUCAUACGCUCACUUCUCCCCCCCCACCACACACACUAAGAGCAGAAAAGGGUAAUGGACAAAACUUUUGAAAUUCAGCUGUGUGGUUUUAAGAAGACAUGUCAAGUCUGUGUUUUUAAACUCUGUUGUUUUAAUAGCCAUGUUCCUAUUAGAGCAUCAAUGUAUUCAGAUGCAGUAGAAUGAAUCUGUGUUUGGUACCACAGUGGUAAAUGUCAAAAUCAGCUUUAUAAAAACCACACAGAGAAGCGGGAAGUGGUUCUCUUUUGGUGGCGUAGCUCCUGAAGGAAGCUGAUGGAGCCCCUUGUUCUCUCGUGCAGCAGCUGUUAAGUGAUGUAGGGGGAAAACAAAAAAAACAACUUCCUUUUAGUCCUUCGAGAUAUAAAUGAUCCAUAACAGCUCGUCUCAUCCACAAGCAAACCUGUCCGACC